rnacentral:rRNA from 1 species
UGGGGAAUAUUGCACAAUGGGGGAAACCCUGAUGCAGCAACGCCGCGUGAAGGAAGAAGGCCUUUGGGUCGUAAACUUCUGUCCUAAGGGAAGAUAAUGACGGUACCUUGGAGGAAGCCCCGGCUAACUACGUGCC